UUUUAAUGUAAGUAAUUUUUUUUAUUUAAUUUUGUAGUGAUAUGUAAAUAGUGUGAUAAAUUAUAUAUACUAGUAUAUGCACGUGCCUAAAGGCACAGUGCAAUUAAUGAUGAGAUCAAAAUAUAAUUGAAUAUGCAUAAUACAAUUAUUAAAUUAAAAUAUAAUUUAUCAAAUUCGUUACUAAAAAUUUGAGGUCAAAAUAUAAAUACAGAUCUGAUUGGUUUCGACUUUCAAAUGAAUUUUGUAAAAUUACUGGGGCAUAAAUGCACUCCAAUAAAAUUAAAGAAAAAACUGAAAAAGGCAAUUUAUUGUAAGAAUAUGUCUCGUGGGCUUUGUCACUGAGGUGGAUAACAAAGUUCUAUUAAAAAUAUUAAAAAAAAAAAAAUCCUUUUUUCCAAUUUUUAAACAAAUAACAUCACCCCUAUUAUCUCUCUUCUCUCUCUUUCUCACUUGCCCUGUGAAAUGAUUACAUUUUAAUAGUAAAACAUAAACCACUUUGAUCACCAUUUUUUUUUAACAGAACCCAAUUUACCUUUGCCUCCAAAUCCCUCUCCAAACUCUUACAUAAAUUCCCUACUUUCUUUUUACCUUAUCCUAACUACAAAAAUCCAUAAAUCUAGGACAUGCUCUUCACUUUAAGAAGUCCCAUAAAACCCAUAAAAAAACAGGCACCAAUUUCACACUUAAAAAAACGUCAAGCCAUUAGGCCAUACACCACUUCUUUAGGAAGUCCCCUUCUCAAGACACUCCUGCAUCUACUCCCACUCACUUUAUAUAGAAUAGAAUGAAUUUAUAUAUAAGUAAAUUUUGUUGAUGUGUUUAGGAAUACUGGUUAAGAUAUAGAAAUACUUGGCACAUGAAAUGAUUAAUUAUAUGUGACAAUACAUUUUUUUUUUUUUAGCUAGGGGUGACUAUUGGUUCAAUAGUUAAGACUUGACCUAAUAACCUUGAGGUUAUGGGUUCAAGUCUUAGGACUACUACUUUGUCCAUUAUGCCAAAUGUUAGGUGUGUACUCAAUCUUUCUCUUCCCAAACACGCAUUAAUGUAUACUAAUUGGGUGUUGUUUUUUUUAUUUUUUGUUUUUAGCUCACCAACAUAUUCAAAAUUACAUCCCAACUAAUCUUGAGAUGUAUGUAUUUUGCAUAUACCAAGUAAUUUUCGUCAUUUGUACAUUCUUGAGAAUUUUCAUACAACCUUACAAAAAUUAACAACCAUAUAGGACAGUCAAAUAUUUUUUCCAAAACAAAUAUUUCAAGCUCUCUGACUUCUAAAAAAAUAAAUCAUACAAAGAAAUCUAGUUGUAACAAUAUAUUCAAUAGAAAUCAAAACCUAAAUAUUCAAUAGAAGUAAUGAAACACCAAAUAUAUUCAAAAAACAUACAUGCAGGUGUAUGUAUUUCUCUAUAACUUAAGUAGUAUUCAAAAAACAUACCCAUCUCUCUCUCUCUCUCUCAUUUUCUCUUUCUUUUCUUAAGUUCUCACAAAUCCUAUGAUGAUCAGCCUUUGUCAGUGGUGUUUGGUUACUUCUAUAGAUUUCAAAAAACUGUAAACAAUAUAUCAAAACCCAAAUAUAUUGUAGGUUAUUAAACACAAAUAUACUAUUUUAAUAACAUACGAAGACUAAUCUAAUAUACAAAGAACCACACUAUUUUAACAAAAAAAUUAACUUGACUGUGUUGAAAUAGGCAAAUUUUCAUGAAUCAAAUUCCCAAGUUUAGAGAGAAAUUAGAAGAGAGGAGUUAAAUUAAGGCCAAUCUAAUUUAAUUUGAGGUAACAGCAAAAUCAAAAUCACACCAAAUAACUUGAGGCAAUCACUUUGAGGCAACAACCUAACAAAAGUCAAUCAAAAUUACACCAAACCCACCAAACUAAACAUUAGACCAAAUAAAUUGAAAGAAAGAAAACAGAGGAAUAGGGGGUUUGGGGUUGGGUAGAGAGAGAAAGUAAGAGAAUAACUUAUUCUUUAAAGCUUGACAACAAUGGCAACCACUCACCACUCUCAUAAUCAUCCUCUCAUCGUCGUCGCCAUCACGCGUCGUCGCUGGGGGUAGAGACCACCACGAACACCAACUGAUGGGGUAGGAUGCCGAGAACGCGAGAUCCGGAUGCCGAGAAACCAUCGCCGAGUGGGUUGGGCUCCGAUGGAAUGAAAGAGUAUGGGACUGAAACAAAA